GGGUUCAAAACAUGGCAUUAUCCAACAGCACAGUCGCCUCCUCUGCUCCGCUGGCAAUCCCUUCCCUCCCAAAUUCAAAGAAUAUUGAAAGAAUUGAUUCACUACUCGGAACUUCAAGAGCUCCCAAAUUCAUCGCUCGCUCUAUUUCAAGAAAUGGCUCUUCCUUUCUUCAAUCUGAUUUGCCAUUUCCCCGUGAUUAUGAUGAGCUUCUUCAACAAGCCAAAAAAGCAACUGAAUUGGCUUUGGUGGAUGGCAAAAAGUUAAUGGAGAUUGAAUUCCCAACAUCUGGACUUGAAUCUGUACCAGGUUCUCUUCACUUGCCUUUUGAUAUUCUUUAUAUAUGUUUAUUGAACAGAUUUAUGAAUGGAGAAAGAAAGUGGUAGAAGAAGAGAUAUUGUUCUCCAUUAUAUUAGAAUCCCAGUCGCUAAAGGACUGCUAUAUACACGUGAAGAGAACAAAAAUUAACUACCUGAGAGCUAAGCAUAACCAAUUAACUUGCAGUUCUCCUAACUUUCUGACAAUUGAAGCUGCAGCUGAUCAAAUACUGAGCUCAGCUGCCAAGUAACUAAAACUACUUCUAACUAAUAACUUAUAAUAUUUUUGCAACUAUGAUACAAAUUAUUAUUGUAUCUUAACUGGAAAUUUGGAAAUGAGAGGGAAGAGAGAACUUUUGAAAGGAAGAGGGAGAAAAGAGUACUUAAGAAUGAAUAAGUAACUGAAACCUUUUAUUCUUGACUAAUAUUCUCAGUUAUACCAACAGCUACUAUAGGCUACAGUUCUUGCUUACAUCAGCUAUUUAACGGCUAAAAAUUAUGACAAUAUAACAGUCACAUUUCUUCCAUAUAUCAUAUUGCUUCUUAUCAGGUGAUGGUGAAGGGGGCAUAGAAAUGACUGCGAGCAUGCAGUUGAUUCGUGAAUUUUGUGACUGCUUCGUAAGUCCUGAGAAAGCUACAAGAACCAGAAUAUUUUUCCCAGAGGCAAAUGAAGUUAAAUUUGCAAGAAAAUCAGCCUUUGAAGGAUCUUCCCUUAAGUUGGACUAUUUGACAAAGCCAUCAUUUUUUGAGGAUUUUGGUUUUGUUGAGAAAGUCAAAAUGACAGAUCGUGUGAAGCCAGAAGACGAAUUGUUCCUGGUCGCCUAUCCUUAUUUUAAUGUUAAUGGUAGCCUCAAACUUAUCAUCUUGAGGACUUAAACUCCAUUGGAUUCACACUUUUGCUAUUCAUUUGUAAUUCAGAAAUGCUUGUGGUGGAAGAGCUUUAUAGAGAAUUUGUUGCAAACACAACACGAAAACUGAUUAUAUUCAAUGGAGAACUUGAUCGUAUAAGAUCUGGCUAUUAUCCACCCUUUUUCUAUCCUAAGCUGGCCUCUCUUUCCAAGACCCUUUUCCCAAUGAUGGAGACUGUGUAUUACAUUCACAAUUUUAAAGGACGCAAUGGAGGAACUCUUUUCAGGUGUUAUCCAGGUCCAUGGCAAGUCCUAAGAAAAGUAAAGAACACCCACAUUUGUUUGCAUCAGCAGGAAGUUAUGCCAUCACUUAAGGAAGUUGCCUUGGAUAUUCUCCCAUCAGCUUGAGAAUUUGGUACUUAACAGAUCUGGAAAUAUAUCUCAUUUGUUAUACUAUGGUUUAAUGAUAUCCAUUGUUUUUAGUAUUUUUAACCCAUCUUUAUUUAAGAUUUUAUCUCAAGAAUAUAAAUAUAUGAUAUUGUUAUGAUAUAUAGUAUAGGAAAAAUUACUAUUUAAUUCUUAUAUUUUAACAAAAUUAACUACUUAGUCCCUCUAUUUUGAAAAAUACAUUAUUUAAUCUCUCUAUUUUUUAAUCCGUGGACUGUUUAGUCUCUCCCAUUAUUUUAAAGCAAAAUUUUUUCCCAACUCAAAUAUUCAGUCCCUGUGAUUUGAAUAAUACAACUAUUUAGUCCCUGUAAUUUCAAAUCCAUAACUAUUCAGUCUCUGUUUACAACUAUUCUCUCUUCUUUGAGUAAUUUUACUAACAAAAAAGUUAACCAAAGGUACUAAACAGUUUACGAACAAAAAAUAGAGGUAAUAAAUAGUGCAUUUUUCAAAUUACAGGAACUAAGUAGUUAGUUUUAUUAAAAUGCAAGGACUAAAUAGUAAUUUUCCAUAUUGAAUAAUAGCAUGCCUGCAAAACUUUCAAAGUUUAACAUUCAACCUUAGUAUUUUAAGUUACUUGUAGCUAUAUUUCUUCCUUGGCUCCCUCCACAUUUUCUAUUCCCCUUUUAAUUUUUUUGAAUUUCUGUGGCUCUUUUAGUCAAUUGUCAUCUUAAUGUCUCAUUGGGGUCCCCAUCAAAUCUAAUUACAUGAUCCAUCUGUAGGAACUUGAGUUCAAAAGAACAUUUCAUAUCUUGCAUUAUUUUCAAUGCAUUGCUUAUUUUGUUGAUAAAAAGCUCUUCCAUUAAAGUAUAAUUGGUUUCUGUUUAUGGCAAUUCUUCUUUCUAGCAAAUGUUUGUUGUGUCAUUAAAUACUUCAUUUGUAUAACACAAUUAGAUGUCAUCAAACUGGGGUUGCUCUUUUUUUUUUUUUUUUUU
rnacentral:misc_RNA from 1 species